UUACGUCGCGUUGUAGGGCACGCAUUCGA
rnacentral:sRNA from 1 species